rnacentral:rRNA from 1 species
UACGUAGGGGGCAAGCGUUAUCCGGAAUUACUGGGUGUAAAGGGUGAGUAGGCGGCAUGGUAAGCCAGAUGUGAAAGCCUUGGGCUUAACCCGAGGAUUGCAUUUGGAACUAUCAAGCUAGAGUACAGGAGAGGAAAGCGGAAUUCCUAGUGUAGCGGUGAAAUGCGUAGAUAUUAGGAGGAACACCAGUGGCGAAGGCGGCUUACUGGACCAUGACUGACGUUGAGGCUCGAAAGCGUGGGGAGCGAACAGG